ACGGGUGAGUAAUGCCUAGGAAAUUGCCUUGAUGUGGGGGAUAACCAUUGGAAACGAUGGCUAAUACCGCAUAACGCCUACGGGCCAAAGAGGGGGACCUUCGGGCCUCUCGCGUCAAGAUAUGCCUAGGUGGGAUUAGCUAGUUGGUGAGGUAAUGGCUCACCAAGGCGACGAUCCCUAGCUGGUCUGAGAGGAUGAUCAGCCACACUGGAACUGAGACACGGUCCAGACUCCUACGGGAGGCAGCAGUGGGGAAUAUUGCACAAUGGGCGAAAGCCUGAUGCAGCCAUGCCGCGUGUAUGAAGAAGGCCUUCGGGUUGUAAAGUACUUUCAGUUGUGAGGAAGGGGGUGUCGUUAAUAGCGGCAUCUCUUGACGUUAGCAACAGAAGAAGCACCGGCUAACUCCGUGCCAGCAGCCGCGGUAAUACGGAGGGUGCGAGCGUUAAUCGGAAUUACUGGGCGUAAAGCGCAUGCAGGUGGUUCAUUAAGUCAGAUGUGAAAGCCCGGGGCUCAACCUCGGAACUGCAUUUGAAACUGGUGAACUAGAGUACUGUAGAGGGGGGUAGAAUUUCAGGUGUAGCGGUGAAAUGCGUAGAGAUCUGAAGGAAUACCAGUGGCGAAGGCGGCCCCCNGNNCAGAUACUGACACUCAGAUGCGAAAGCGUGGGGAGCAAACAGGAUUAGAUACCCUNNNAGNCCACGCCGNAAACGAUGUCUACUU
rnacentral:rRNA from 1 species